rnacentral:lncRNA from 1 species
AUGCACGCCAUUCUCUGUUGUCUUUAUUUACACAACUUGUUAGAAGACAGAAAUGCCCUUUUCUAAGUCAUAUGCUAAAAUAUAUGGGUAAAAAUGACAGAUUAUCUCUUUUUUUAUUCAGUCAGGGAGUGAGUGAAUAUUUAUUGAGUUCUGACUUUGUACAAGGUCUAUGUUAAAUAAAUUAAGUACGUAUGGAAUAAGUUGUUGAAUAAAAAGCAUGACUUCCACUUUCUAAGAUAUUAAAAUCAAAUUAAUACGAAAACAGAAUCAAAUCAAACCCACUGAUAUGUUAAAAAAUACAGAUAAACAAACAGGAGAAAAGUCAGCCAUGAACUUACCACCCAAGAAAAUCAUUAUUAAUAGUUUAGUAAUUAUCUUUCUACUGGCCUAACCCUCUGUGGUUCUGCUAGUGCCUUGCACGUAUGUUCAAUCAUCUAUUCUCACUGAGAAAUAUAUUGUGAGCAUCUUUCUGUAUCAAUAGGAUAAAUCUCCAUAUUUUUCCUAAUAGCUUUGUAGCAAGCCAUUUGAUGAAUGCCCUGGAAUUUAUUUAAACAAUCACUUUAGUGAACAUGUAGGUGUCUCCAAGCUUCUGAAACAAUACACAACACUAACAUAAAAAAUUACACACAGCUUUAUGUAUUUGCACAACAAUAUCAUGAACAUACAUUUUUAUCAGAGUCAUGCAUAUUUUUAAACAUUUACAAAGCUUUUAAUCAAUACAUAAUAUAUAUGCAGAAAUGUAAAUAUAUCAAAGUGUAUCGCUUGAUUAAUUUUCAGAGAGUAAACUCAUGAAUAGCAUUCAUUUCAAGAAACAGAAUUUAACUAUAAUGCAAAUCCCCCUAGAGCCCCUACCAGUCUUCAUUUCCCCAGAAGGCAACCAUUAUAUUGACAUUAUACUGAUUAGAAAAAAAAUAUUUAUAUAAAUUAAAUGAGAGUAGGUUCUCUUGUACCAAGCUCCUCUGCAAAAUAUAUCUAUAUUGUCAUGCUUAUUUGCAUAAUGACCAUUCUCAAUAUUACACAUUUUUUAAAAUUUUGUGACAUACCAAAAUUUACUUAUCCAAUACAUUUGGUAAACAUUUAAUGUAGUGAACAGUGGGAAAUCUUCCAGUAUGGGCUAUUAUGAAUGGUGCUGCUGUGAACAUUCUUGCACACGUCUUUUGUGAACAUAUAUGCAUGCACUUCUGAUGGUUAUAUGUGGAAUGUUUGGGUGAUAGGGUAUAUACAGUCAGCUUUAGUAGAUUCAGUCUGAUGCAGUUUUCUAUUGCUUUGUAACAAAUUAUCCCAAAAUUAGUGGUUUAAAAUAACAAUAUAAAACAGAAAAAGUCACAUUUCUGAACCCUACAGGCAGGAAAAGUUAGGACAGGAGCCAUCAAGGGACCAUUCUCACAGUCUCUGUGGGUCAGGAAUCUGUGCACACCUCAGCAAAAUAACACCAAAAGCAAGGUUGGUCAGGUUUGCGGUCAUCUUGAGGAUUGAUUAAGUGCCUCCAGUGAUUAAAAAUCUCUAAACCUCCAGAGGGCAGCAAUGAAGAAUCCCUCAUGGCCUCUGGUUAGAGUUCAGAUUUAGGUACCGAAACACCUAAUAACAAUCCCUCAUCUUUCUUCAUGUCUCAUUCUCGUCAUCAUAAGGAUUGCAUAUAUGAAAUAACUCCUGAAUCUCAACAUUUGCCAAGGAUAUCAAUUCUUACAUUUUCCAGGACUUCACCUAACAGAUCAUCUUUUAACCCUACAAUUUUAGGACACAAUACAAUUAUAUAUGUGUUAAAGAAAUAAUACAUGCAAUAACGUACAAAGCCAAAAAAACAUAAUGGUUCAAAGGUAAUAUAAGUCUAUUCUUUCAAAGCCCAAAAUAGGAGUCUUGAUCAGCAGAGGAUACUUGUUCAAGUGGUAAUUCAGGUACUCAGCCUCCCUCCAUUCUGCACCUCUGCCUUCCUUACCACAUUGUUCCCAAGAUCAUCAUGGUUUUCUUCAUCCAACUAGUGGAGGAUCACUAAUAGAAGAGCUUGAUGGCAUACUCCAGGUUGGAAUACUCCUUCCCCAUCCUACUACACUUGACCUUCAGUCUCUUUUCUGAAUCUACUAAAUUUUCCUUUUCUAACUUAUCUCAAGAGAAGUCUCCCCGCUCCUCCAAGACAGAUGACUUUUUUUUUUUUGAUAUAAAGUCUCUCUCUGUCAUCCAGGCUGUAGUGCUGUAGUGGCACGAUCUCAGAUCAAGGCAACCUCCACCUCCUGGGUUCAGGCAAUUCUGCCUCAGCCUCUCGAGUAACUGGGAUUACAGGCACACAUCAACAUGCCCAGCUAAUUUUUUUUAUUUUUAGUAGAGACGGCGUUUCACCAUGUUGGCAAAGCUGGUCUCGAACUCCUGACCCCAAGUGAUUCAUCCACCUUGGCCUUCCAAAGUGCUGGGAUUACAGACGUGAGCCACCGCACCCGGCCUACCUUCUUUCUUCUAGCUAUCUUCCUUCUUCUUCUGUCUAUCUUCUUCUGACAACUUCUUUCUUCUUCCAUCAUAGAAACAUACUGCAUUAAAAUGUCCCCUUUUUUCUUUAAGCCAUAAAUCCAACAGGACAAUAAUAAUAGAAAUUGUUUUCUUCAAAGUUUUAUUCGUAACACCUAGCCAACUACCUGGUACAUUGUAUAAGAUUUUUAUUUGCUAUGUAGAAAAUUAUUACAAAUUUAGCUGCUUCAAAAAACACACAUUUAUUAUCUCAGAGUUUCAGCAAGGCAGAAAUUCAGACACAGCCUAGCUGGCUUCUCUGCUCGAUUCCUACAAGACUGAAAUCAAGGUGUCGGCUAGGCUGCAGUAUGAUGUAGAACUUGCAGUCCUUUCCCAAGUUUAUUCAGGUUUUUGGCAGAAUUCAAUCAUUUGCAGUUGUAGCAUUUGGGGACCUGGGUGCUUAUUUCCUUGCUGGCUGUCUGCUAGGAGUUGCUCUUAGCUCCUAGCGGCUGCCCUCAAGUUGUAUCCACUUGGCACUCUCAGAAGAUGUAUGUUUAUUUCUUCCAAGCCAGCAGGAGAGUCUCCUUCCAGUCACCUUGCUAUCUUCAGGAAUGUAUCAAGAGUUUCUCCUUUGGAAAAACUGUGUCUUUGAGUGUGAUGUGGCUCAUGGUAUUCUAGUUGUCUGUACAAGGAAUCUGUCAGCAUGCAUGUGCCGCUGUGGCAUUCAGUGAUUCUAAGGUUAAUUACAGGUACAAGCAGCUGGCUGUUUCAAGAUAUCUUCUAAUGUGAUCCACCUGA